rnacentral:sRNA from 1 species
AUGUACCCACGUACACUCCGGUUCCUCCCACUCCGGUUCCUCCGCGCCGUCCGCAUCCACCUGGCGACUGCUCGCUACGUUUUGUCAGCC